rnacentral:lncRNA from 1 species
GGGGGUUUGUCACGAGGCAGCCACCCGAUCACCGCCGCGAGAUGACGUCAGUCACGUUCUCCUGCAAUUGCAACCACUUCCGGUCGCUUAGCUUCUUUUCUUCCACCAGGCGGCGCCGCAAGACGUUCAGUUGUCGACGUCUCCUGCGCAGCCGCACUGGCGCCCCGGACACGUCACCACCUUUGCGUCUUUUCUGUCACAUGCAGAAGAAUUACAUUUUUGGCACAAGACAGAAAGUGCUACAUUCUAGGUGA